AAUGGGGUCCAUGCUGCCGCGGUAUUGCAUGAAAGAGAGGCUGUUGCAUUUUCCCAUCAGCUCUCACUUUAUCCCCUUGGGAUCAUGAUCCGUUCCUCUGAUUGGAAACGACUUUUCUCCUUAUCAGCCAGCAUGUUCACAUUGCUGUGUGUGCACUUUGCUAGUGCAAAAUCAUUGGAAACAUAACAUUCCUUCCUUUUGAAAUCUUAACUGCAUGUUUUGUUAAACCUACAUGCCUCUUGCUUAUUCCAGGUCUAUAAUGAAUGCACACUUCUCUCGGGUUCCUGUCCUAACUCCCCGCACCCAAGAGAGAACACCAAAACCUAACACACUCAUUGCCAGAGCCAAGCAGCCGAACUCCACUUGGUACUGACUCUGCAUAAAUGAAUACCUAGCUUUCGUAUUUACAGCUAAUUGAUACACGUUCGUUUUGCCUUUUAGCUUCUCCUGAAAAACAUCCUCACUCGAAGGUAACGCUUUUAGACUUUUAGCUUGAAAUAAGAACUACAGAUUUUAUCGUGUGUAUGUUAUGUUUUAAUCAACUCUAAUCCAAACCCAUUCAGCCUCCAGUUGGAGUGACCAAUGUUCGUAAAAUAAAAGUUGGAACAAAGGAUUUGCCAACGUCCAGAUCAGAUCGCACAGCAGAGGGACCUCCAAGGCAGACAUCAGGAGAAACGGAGUCAAAGCAAGAUGUGCCCCAGAGACCUCCUUGGGCGAGUGGAUUAGGCAACUCUAAGAUGGCUAAACAAGAGGAUCCAAGAAAUAGAGGCAUAGAAGAGGCCACACGGGUAUGGAAAAUUGAAUAUUUCUAUGCAGUAUUACUCUGCAAGUAUAUAUCCCAGAUGGUCAAUUCCACACACUCUCUCUGAUGAGAAAUGAAUUGUAC
rnacentral:lncRNA from 1 species